rnacentral:lncRNA from 1 species
GGGGGUCGGCCGCGGAGGCGGCCCGGGCGCCGGCCUCCCUAGCGCUCGCCGCCGCGCUCCGCUGGCUAGGCCGCGCUGGCCCCUGGCGCUCGGCAGCUGACUCCAUCCAGAUGUGCCGCGGCUCCAGAGUGGCUGCCGCGCGCAGUAAAUGGGCAUCGGAGGCUCGUCAAUCCGGGCCAGAGCAAUUGCGGUCUCGGGGCCGCCCCACUGGCACUAGGAAAGAGUCUCGCUCUGUCACCCAGGCAGGAGAGCAAUGGUAUGAUCUUGGUUCACUACAGCCUUGACCUCCUGGGCUCAAGUGAUCCUCCCACCUCAGCCUCCGGAGUAGCUGGGACCACAGGAAUGCAAUACCACGUCUGGCUAAUUUUUGUACUUUUGGUAGAGGCGGGGUCUUGCUACCUUACCAGGGCUGGUCUCAAACUCCUGGGCUCAAGUGAUCCUCCUUGCCUUGGCCUCCCAAAGUACUGAGAUUACAGGCAUGAGCCGCUGCACAGAGCCCCAGUAACUAUUUAUUGAAUAAAUCUGAGUUCCUGAAAGAUUGAAUACAAUCUGUUUAGAGGAAGAAGCUGUAUAACAGUAAUAAGAUGAAAGAAGAAGAAAGGAAGAAAAGGAGGAGUGAAAGGAGGAGGGGAAGAAACUGACUAAUGCAGGUUAAAUAAUAUCAUAAUUAUUCCACUGUAAUUUUUUUGCACUUUAAAGUACUCACCUGUCUAUUCUGUACUGGAGUUCUGACCUUGUUUCUGGUCUACCACACCACUGUAUUU